CGCCUUUUGAACUACAAACAUAAAAGGUCCUGCCUGCCCAGUGACACUUGUUUCAACGGCCGCGGUAUCAUGACCGUGCAAAGGUAGCGUAAUCACUUGUCUUUUAAAUAAAGACCAGUAUGAAUGGCAAGACGAAACCUAACUGUCUCCCUAAGUUAGUCAAUAAAAUUGAUCUUCCCGUGCAGAAGCGGGAAUAAUAAUAUAAGACGAGAAGACCCUGUGGAGCUUCAAACUUAAACUAACAAACUAUAAAUGCCUUAGCACAAGUUUUGGGUUGGGGCGACCAUGAGGUAAAAUAUAACCCUCAAGACAAAAACUAAGAAGGACACUUCAAAUAAAUAAAAUAAUGUAAUUGACCCAAUAAUUGAUCAACGGACCAAGUUACCCCAGGGAUAACAGCGCAAUCUACUCAAAGAGCCCUUAUCGAAGAGCAGGUUUACGACCUCGAUGUUGGAUCAGGACUCCCAAAUAAUGCAACAGUUAUUAAAGGUUCUUUGUUCAACGAUUAAAGUCCU
rnacentral:rRNA from 1 species